GAAAGCGAAAGAAGGCGAACGGGGGAUGCCUGGGCGUCAGGAGCCGAAGAAGGACGUGGUACACUGCGAAAAGCGUCGGGGAGCCGUGUGCAGGCGAGGAUCCGGCGAUGUCCGAAUGGGGAAACCCGGCUGCCUGGAAAGGCAGUCACCGCCGGCUGAACACAUAGGUCGGCGGGGGGAACCGGGGGAACUGAAACAUCUUAGUACCCCGAGGAAAAGAGAGUAUUCCGUGAGUAGUGGCGAGCGAAAGCGGAGGAGCCCAAACCGCGCCCUGCGGGGCGCGGGGUUGUAGGCCCCGGCAGGAAGCGCUGGACGUCUAGCCGAACGGCACUGGAAAGGCCGACCGGAGAGGGUGAAAGUCCCGUAGGCGAAAGAGGGAAGGCGCGGGCCGGAGAGCCUGAGUACCACGGGGCACGCUAAUCCUGUGGGAAGCAGGGGGGACCACCCUCCAAGGCUAAAUACUCCUGACGACCGAUAGCGGACAAGUACCGUGAGGGAAAGGUGAAAAGAACCCCGGUGAGGGGAGUGAAAGAGAACCUGAAACCGUUCGCUGACAGACGGUGGGAGCGCCAGUGUCCGGCCGGAAGGUCGGGCAGGCGUGACCGCGUGCCUUUUGGAGAAUGAGCCGGCGAGUUAAUCGGUGUGGCGCGGUUAAGGCAGGGACAGCCGGAGCCGGAGCGAAAGCGAGUCUGAAGAGGGCGAAGCAGCGAAGCUGCCCGUCGCACUGAUUAGACACGAAACCUGGUGAGCUACCCAUGGCCAGGGUGAAGGCGCGGUGAAACGCGUUGGAGGCCCGAACCGGUUGCUGUUGCAAAAGCAUCGGAUGAGCUGUGGGUAGGGGUGAAAUGCCAAACGAACCGGGAGAUAGCUUGUUCUCCCCGAAAUAGCUUUAGGGCUAGCGUCGUGGGAAGCGUGGCGGAGGUAGAGCACUGGAUGGACCUGGGGGCCGGAUAGGUUACCCAGCCCAACCAAACUCCGAAUGCCGUCACGCCGGACACGGCAGUCGGACGACGGGAGAUGAGUUUCGUCGUCGAGAGGGAAACAGCCCAGACCGUCGGCUAAGGUCCCGGAGUGCAGGCUAAGUGGGAAACGAAGUGGUCGUGUCGAGACAGCCAGGAGGUUGGCUUAGAAGCAGCCAUCCUUUAAAGAGUGCGUAACAGCUCACUGGUCAAACGCGGCUGCGCGGAUAAUGUAACGGGGCUCAAGCCUGCCACCGAAGCCACGGGGCGGCGGACGGAAGUGCGCCGCCGGUAGGGGAGCGUUGCCUGACCGAAGAAGCAUCAGGGAGACCCGGUGUGGAGGGCAGGCAAGUGAGAAUGCCGGCAUGAGUAGCGAGACAUGCGUGAGAACCGCAUGCGCCGAAAACCUGAGGUUUCCGACGGAAGGUCAAUCCGCGUCGGGUGAGUCGGGCCUUAGCCGAGGCCGAAAGGCGUAGGCGAUGGACAACCGGUCAACAGUCCGGUACCACGCCGGUGGAGCGAAGGGGGGACGCGUCCGUGAAGGCCAGCCUCCGGAUGGAGGGAGGUGCCAAGCGCGCGAAGCGAGGAGGGAGCCAGGGAAAUCCGGCUCCGGAGCGGAGCGGGCGAGGGCGGAGCGAAAGCUCAGAAGUGGCUGGAGCGGAGGCCGAGAAAAGCCUCUAAGCGAAGAAGCCGGCGUGCCCGUACCGCAAACCGACACAGGUAGGUAGGUGGAGAACACCAAGGCGCACGGGAGAACCCUCGUUAAGGAACUAGGCAAACUGGCCGCGUAACUUCGGGAGAAGCGGCGCCACCUUCGGGUGGCCGCAGAGAAAUGGCCCUGCCGACUGUUUAACAAAAACACAGGUCUCUGCCAACGCGAAAAGCGGACGUAUAGGGGCUGACGCCUGCCCGGUGCCGGAAGGUUAAGGGGAAGGGUUAGGGGCGACCUCGGUCGCCUCGAAGCUCAGAACCGAAGCCCCGGUGAACGGCGGCCGUAACUAUAACGGUCCUAAGGUAGCGAAAUUCCUUGUCGGGUAAGUUCCGACCCGCACGAAUGGCGUAACGAGUGGGGCACUGUCUCAACGAGGGACCCGGCGAAAUUGAAGUCUGCGUAAAGAUGCGCAGGACCCGCAGCAGGACAAAAAGACCCCGUGGAGCUUUACUGCAGCUUGCCAUAGCGUGAGGGCUGUGCCUGUGUAGGAUAGCUGGGAGGCAGAGAAGCCCGGACGCCAGUUCGGGUGGAGCCGGCCUUGAAAUACCAGCCUGGUGCAGACCUGACCCUAACCCCGCGCCGUGAGCCGGGCGGGGGACGGUGGCAGGUGGGCAGUUUGACUGGGGCGGUCGCCUGCGAAAGAGUAACGGAGGCGCCCAAAGGUUCCCUCAGGCUGAAUGGAAACCAGCCGCAGAGUGUAAAGGCAGAAGGGAGCUUGACUGUCAGGCCCACAGGCCGAGCAGGGACGAAAGUCGGGCUUAGUGAUCCUACGGCGCUGAGUGGAAAGGCCGUAGCUUACCGGAUAAAAGCUACCCCGGGGAUAACAGGCUAGUCUGGUCCAAGAGUUCACAUCGACGACCAGGCUCGGCACCUCGAUGUCGGCUCAUCGCAUCCUGGGGCUGGACCAGGUCCCAAGGGUUGGGCUGUUCGCCCAUUAAAGCGGUACGUGAGCUGGGUUCAGACCGUCGUGAGACAGGUCGGUCUCUAUCCGCUGUGGGUGUGCGAGAUUUGAGGGGCGCUGCUCCCAGUACGAGAGGACCGGAGUGGACCGACCGCUGGUGUGCCAGUUGUGUCGCCAGACGCAGCGCUGGGUAGCCACGUCGGGACGGGAUAACCGCUGAAAGCAUCUAAGUGGGAAGCCCACCCCAAAACCAGAUCUCGUUAUCAGACCGCUGGAAGACGACCAGCUUGAUAGGCGGGAGGUGUACGCACGGCAACGUGUUCAGCCAACCCGUACUAAGGGUCGAACGCUU
rnacentral:rRNA from 1 species